GACGAGCCUCACAAACGUUAUUCGGAAUUACUGGGCUUAAAGGGUGCGUAGGCGGUGCGGAAAGUUGGGUGUGAAAUCCCUCGGCUUAACCGAGGAAUUGCGCUCAAUACUACCGUGCUCGAGGGAGAUAGAGGAAUGCGGAACUUACGGUGGAGCGGUGAAAUGCGUUGAUAUCGUAGGGAACACCGGUGGCGAAAGCGGCAUUCUGGAUCUCUUCUGACGCUGAGGCACGAAAGCUAGGGUAGCAAAC
rnacentral:rRNA from 1 species